UCGGGAAUUUUGGGCAAUGGGCGAAAGCCUGACCCAGCAACGCCGCGUGAGGGAUGAAGUAUUUCGGUAUGUAAACCUCGAAAGAAUGGGAAGAAUAAAUGACGGUACCAUUUAUAAGCUCCGGCUAACUACGUGCCAGCAGCCGCGGUAAUACGUAGGGAGCAAGCGUUGUUCGGAUUUACUGGGCGUAAAGGGCGCGUAGGCGGCGCGGUAAGUCACUUGUGAAAUCUCUGAGCUUAACUCAGAACGGCCAAGUGAUACUGCUGUGCUAGAGUGCGGAAGAGGCAACCGGAAUUCUUGGUGUAGCGGUGAAAUGCGUAGAUAUCAAGAGGAACACCUGAGGCGAAGGCGGGUUGCUGGGCCCACACUGACGCUGAUGCGCGAAAGCCAGGGGAGCAAAAG
rnacentral:rRNA from 1 species